UACGUAGGGGGCAAGCGUUGUCCGGAAUCAUUGGGCGUAAAGAGCGCGUAGGCGGCCCGAUAAGUCCGCUGUGAAAGUCAAGGGUUUAACCCUUGAAUGCCGGUGGAAACUGUCGGGCUAGAGUCCGGAAGAGGCGAGUGGAAUUCCUGGUGUAGCGGUGAAAUGCGCAGAUAUCAGGAGGAACACCGAUGGCGAAGGCAGCUCGCUGGGACGGUACUGACGCUGAUGCGCGAAAGCCAGGGGAGCAAACGGG
rnacentral:rRNA from 1 species